rnacentral:piRNA from 2 species
UGGGUUGCUAUUCCCUGUGGAUGAGU